UCGAGCGCAGUGCGGUGAAAAUCGCAUGCUGCGUUCUUCGGGGGCCCCGCUGCCGUAAGGCAGUGGGGCGACCCACU
rfam:Burkholderia sp. SRS-W-2-2016 contig36120, whole genome shotgun sequence.